rnacentral:rRNA from 1 species
UUUAUGUCGGCGACCGGCGCACGGGUGAGUAACGCGUAUCCAACCUGCCCAUAACUAAGGGAUAACCCAGCGAAAGUUGGACUAAUACCUUAUGUAUUCGUUUGAUUUCAUGAGAUUACGAAUAAAGAUUUAUCGGUUAUGGAUGGGGAUGCGUCUGAUUAGCUUGUUGGCGGGGUAACGGCCCACCAAGGCAACGAUCAGUAGGGGUUCUGAGAGGAAGGUCCCCCACAUUGGAACUGAGACACGGUCCAAACUCCUACGGGAGGCAGCAGGC